ACUCCUACGGGAGGCAGCAGUGAGGAAUAUUGGUCAAUGGGCGAAAGCCUGAACCAGCCAUGUCGCGUGCAGGACGACUGCCCUAUGGUUGUAAACUGCUUUUAUAUGGGAAGAAAUGCGAGUACGUGUACUUGUUUGCCGGUACCAUAUGAAUAAGCAUCGGCUAACUCCGUGCCAGCAGCCGCGGUAAUACGGAGGAUGCGAGCGUUAUCCGGAUUCAUUGGGGUUUAAAGGGGUGCGUAGGCGGAAGUGUAAGUCAGGGGUGAAAGUUUGCAGCUCAACUGUAAAAUUGCCUUUGAUACUGCAUUUCUUGAGUACAUUUGAGGUAGGCGGAAUGUGUUGUGUAGCGGUGAAAUGCUUAGAUAUAACACAGAACACCGAUUGCGAAGGCAGCUUACUAAACUGUAACUGACGCUGAUGCACGAAAGCGUGGGGAUCGAACAGGAUUAGAUACCCUGGUAGCACAGAG
rnacentral:rRNA from 1 species